UAGGGAAUCUUCGGCAAUGGACGAAAGUCUGACCGAGCAACGCCGCGUGAGUGAAGAAGGUUUUCGGAUCGUAAAACUCUGUUGUUAGAGAAGAACAAGGACGUUAGUAACUGAACGUCCCCUGACGGUAUCUAACCAGAAAGCCACGGCUAACUACGUGUCAGCAGCCGCGGUAAUACGUAGGUGGCAAGCGUUGUCCGGAAUUAUUGGGCGUAAAGCGAGCGCAGGCGGUUUCUUAAGGCUGAUGUGAAAGCCCCCGGCUCAACCGGGGAGGGUCAUUGGAAACUGGUAGACUUGAGUGCAUAAGAGGAGAGUGGAAUUCCAUGUGUAGCGGUGAAAUGCGUAGAUAUAUGGAGGAACACCAGUGGCAAAGGCGGCUCUCUGGUCUGUAACUGACGCUGAGGCUCGAAAGCUUGGGGAGCAAACAGG
rnacentral:rRNA from 1 species